rnacentral:rRNA from 1 species
UUAUCGAACGUACGAAUACACAGGUCUGUAAGAAAACUGUGUGCUGCGCGUGACCCGAAAGCACGACGCACACACACAACAAGGGAUAACGAAAGAUGGUAUACACACUAUGGUUACACUAUGGAUCAGUGGCGUGGUGAACCACUGAUGCCCGCUGAAGCGAUAGAGAGUUCGACGCAAUGGCUCCGCACGGUGUGCGCCGUCGACGGCGAAGUACUAGUAGUCGUCGACGAGUCGUAUACCGUUGCGGAGCCGAGAAGCUGUGGUGCAGGCUGAUUCCGCUUCGAAUCGUGCGCGAGGCGGUCUUAAAUUCGUGCCAGGAGUGCACGGCACGGUGACCCCGAAAGAUGGUGGUGGAACAAUGGGCUCCGAACGGAAGGUAUAUCCAAGUUUAACACCCGUUGCGGAGGAUCGUGAGGCAGACACGACGGUCGUGUGAGGCAGACACGACUCCCAAAGACGGUAAUGUAGCGCAUCGUCCGAGAAAACGUGGUUGCAGCGGUGCAUGGUUGCGAGGUGGUGGAGUGCACGAAAGAAGCACGAGGUCUCCGAAAGAUGGUAGAACACAAUGGGCUCCGCACGGAAUGCGCCGCCGUCGACGGCGAAGUACUAGUAGUCGUCGACGAGCGGUAUAGUACCGUUGCGGAGCCCGCCGGGCAGGACAAUCCGAUUGAAUAUUUGUUCUAACUUUGGGGUACCUAUCGUGUCCGCGCGGCGGCGCCGAUUGUACGUAUUUGUCGGUGUCGCGUGGCGGCGGCGAUGAGCAGGCGGCGGGAAGCCCCCGCAGCUUGGCGAAGGUUCAAAGAAGCGCUGGUUCGCGUCCCGUACGCCGGUUGUCCUUAUUUGCCGGUGUGCGGUGGCGACGAGGCGCUCGCCCCGAAGUCAUGUCUAUGUUGUUUUCGUACGGUUGCUAUCGGUCGCCUGCCGGUCGACGGAGACGUCGCGCCGGUACGGUGCUGCCCAGAAAGCUCGAUACAACUCUAAGCGGUGGAUCACUCGGCUCGUGUGUCGAUGAAGAGCGCAGCCAGCUGCGUGAAGUAAUGUGAAUUGCAGGACACAUUGAACAUCGAUAUCUUGAACGCACAUUGCGGCCUCGGGUAUUCCCGAGGCCACGCCUGUCUCAGGGUCGGUUGAAACUAUCAAUCGUCGGUUGACCGUAUUUGCCGACGCAUUGGACCGUCGCGGAGCACUGAACGUGAAGGCGGCGUCGAUCGGUUGACCGUAUUUGCCGAUCGCGCGUCGCCGCGUGCUCCACGUCGUCCGAAGUACAGACGGGUCUUCGCCAGAGACUUGCCGACCGCAUGUCCUAAGCCCGCUCUUGCGGCGGUGCGACGGGGACGGUGGACUCGGUUUGAGAAGCCGUUGCCCGCUCGCUCGCUCGCGGUGCGGUACGGUCGGAUGUAGUCCGCGGCGUUGACCCACGAACGAGAUAACGAUGACGAAGGACGGACGCGCGAGCUGUUCGACGGCGAAGUACUAGUAGUCGUCGCCAGCUCAAGUGUCGUGUCGUCGUCUCGUAUUCUUUUCGAACGAGAUAACGAUGACGAAGGACGGACGCGCGAGCUGUUCGACGGCGAAGUACUAGUAGUCGUCGCCGGCUCAAGUGUCGUGUCGUCGUCUCGUAUUCUUUUCGACCUGAGAUCAGACGAGAUUACCCGCUGAAUUUAA